GCCUCAGACACCACCCCAGACCCUUCAGUCAUCAUAUAUCUUGCAUGUCAGCUAUUCCCUCAGCUCUGUGAAGACAUCAUUUCCACCCAGCCUCACAUGGAGCUGGCGGCCAGAGCCUCUUAGUGGGGCUAUAAAUAGAAGAUCAUCAACUCACCUCUUCUGAGCUCAUCACAGGCUCCUGGGUUUACUGCGUGUCUUUCUGCUGCCUGCACGUCACCAUCACUCAGAUUUCCCAGAACAUGGCCUGGAAAUUGUUCCCCCCAAGUACUUCAAAGUGAAAAGGGACUCUAAAGAACUUCGGACCAAAUGUGACAGAAGAACUUCCCAAGAAUCUCUGUCUGCUCCCUCCCAAAGCCCUACUACAAACAAACAUAAAGGAAUAAAAAGAGUUACACAUUGACAAGUCUAUGCAAACAGGGGAAGACAUGGCAGCAGACUGAGUGCCUCAGCACAUUUCUGAAAGGCAGGAAGCAGUGGUGAGCCACAGGGCAGCACAGGGAGGCUGAAGGCCUGAUGCCUACAGAGAGCUUCCGGAUAAGGAGUGGGCAGGUGGCUGGGACAGGGAGGGCAGAGCUGCACACAGGAGGGACUGGUGGAGACUGCAUGAGAGCAC
ensembl:lncRNA